GCCGGGCAUGGUGGCGCGUGCCUGUAAUCCCAGCUACUUGGGAGGCUGAGGCAGGAGAAUCGCUUGAACCUGGGAGGCAGAGGUUGCAGUGAGCUGAGAUCGUGCCACUGCACUCAAGCCUGGGUGACAGAGCGAGACUCCGUCUCAA
ensembl:misc_RNA Metazoa_SRP Metazoan signal recognition particle RNA